rnacentral:rRNA from 1 species
CACUCAUUAGUGAGAUACCACUGACUUAUACG